UUUAACAAAUACUUUUCUUUCAUAUAAAAAGUUAAAAAUCCAUUUUAUGAGUAUUACAGGUAAGCCUAUCUUGAUCAGUUCUUCACAGAGAAUCUUAAGAUUAACAUUAUUAAAAGCACCUUCAAUAUCUAGGAAAACAGAAACGAGGGAUUGUUUUUGAAUAAUUGACUUUUGAAUAUCAAGUUGCAACAAGGCAAUACUUUCCUGAGCUGACUUCCCCUUUCGAAAUCCAUAUUGAUUAUGAGGUAAAUGAUAACUGCCCAAGGGAUCAUCGUGAACUGACCAAUCACAAGCUAAUGCGAGAGAUGGAGAAACUAAAGACAAAUCUAAAGCAUUCGGGCGCCAUGUUAGUGAACCAACUGUAGUUGGUUCCCCACUGUUCAAUAGUACCAAAUUAUUAUCAUCAAUAAUAUCAAGAAGAUUUCUGCCUCUGCAAUUUAUAUUAUAGCUACCCCAUGCUGUAUGAUUAGCAUUAAAAUCACCCCCAAGAAUAAAAGGCUUUGGAGUAUUUUUAAUUA
rnacentral:misc_RNA from 1 species